CAGGCCUAACACAUGCAAGUCGAACGGUAGCAGGAAGUGCUUGCACUUUGCUGACGAGUGGCGGACGGGUGAGUAAUGCUUGGGAACUUGCCUUAAGGUGGGGGAUAACGGUUGGAAACGACUGCUAAUACCGCAUAAUGUCUACGGACCAAAGGGGGCUUCGGCUCCCGCCUUGAGAGAGGCCCAAGUGAGAUUAGCUAGUUGGUGGGGUAAAGGCCUACCAAGGCAACGAUCUCUAGCUGUUCUGAGAGGAAGAUCAGCCACACUGGGACUGAGACACGGCCCAGACUCCUACGGGAGGCAGCAGUGGGGAAUAUUGCACAAUGGGGGAAACCCUGAUGCAGCCAUGCCGCGUGUGUGAAGAAGGCCUUCGGGUUGUAAAGCACUUUCAGUUGUGAGGAAAGGUUGGUAGUUAAUACCUGCCAGCUGUGACGUUAACAACAGAAGAAGCACCGGCUAACUCCGUGCCAGCAGCCGCGGUAAUACGGAGGGUGCGAGCGUUAAUCGGAAUUACUGGGCGUAAAGCGCACGCAGGCGGCUUGUUAAGCUAGAGGUGAAAGCCCCGCGCUCAACGUGGGAACUGCCUUUAGAACUGGCAGGCUAGAGUCUUGGAGAGGGGAGUGGAAUUCCAGGUGUAGCGGUGAAAUGCGUAGAUAUCUGGAGGAACAUCAGUGGCGAAGGCGGCUCCCUGGCCAAAGACUGACGCUCAUGUGCGAAAGUGUGGGUAGCGAACAGGAUUAGAUACCCUGGUAGUCCACACCGUAAACGCUAUCUACUAGCUGUUUGUGUAUUUAAUACGUGAGUAGCGAAGCUAACGCGCUAAGUAGACCGCCUGGGGAGUACGGCCGCAAGGUUAAAACUCAAAUGAAUUGACGGGGGCCCGCACAAGCGGUGGAGCAUGUGGUUUGAUUCGAUGCAACGCGAAGAACCUUACCUACUCUUGACA
rnacentral:rRNA from 1 species